rnacentral:rRNA from 1 species
UUUACCUGUGUGACUGCGUACCUUUUGUAUAAUGGGUCAGCGACUUAUAUUCUGUAGCAAGGUUAACCGAAUAGGGGAGCCGGAGGGAAACCGAGUCUUAACCGGGCGUUAAGUUGCAGGGUAUAGACCCGAAACCCGGUGAUCUAGCCAUGGGCAGGUUGAAGGUUGGGUAACACUAACUGGAGGACCGAACCGACUAAUGUUGAAAAAUUAGCGGAUGACCUGUGGCUGGGGGUGAAAGGCCAAUCAAACCGGGAGAUAGCUGGUUCUCCCCGAAAGCUAUUUAGGUAGCGCCUCGUGAAUUCAUCUCCGGGGGUAGAGCACUGUUUCGGCUAGGGGGCCAUCCCGGCUUACCAACCCGAUGCAAACUGCGAAUACCGGAGAAUGUUAUCACGGGAGACACACGGCGGGUGCUAACGUCCGUCGUGAAGAGGGAAACAACCCAGACCGCCAGCUAAGGUCCCAAAGUCAUGGUUAAGUGGGAAACGAUGUGGGAAGGCCCAGACAGCCAGGAUGUUGGCUUAGAAGCAGCCAUCAUUUAAAGAAAGCGUAAUAGCUCACUGGUCGAGUCGGCCUGCGCGGAAGAUGUAACGGGGCUAAACCAU